AUCCUGUUAUAAUUCAUAAGCAUGAUAAUUUGGUAGUCACAAGUUUAUGUAAUUUGUGUUUCCUUUAAAACUUGUUAUGAUGUUGACACAUUGCCUACCUGUCA